GAUGAAGAACGCAGCGAAAUGCGAUAAGUAAUGUGAAUUGCAGAAUUCAGUGAAUCAUCGAAUCUUUGAACGCACAUUGCGCCCGCCAGUAUUCUGGCGGGCAUGCCUGUUCGAGCGUCAUUUCAACCAUCAAGCCCCCGGGCUUGUGUUGGGGACCUGCGGCUGCCGCAGGCCCUGAAAAGCAGUGGCGGGCUCGCUGUCACACCGAGCGUAGUAGCAUACAUCUCGCUCUGGGCGUGCUGCGGGUUCCGGCCGUUAAACCACCUUCAUAACCCAAGGUUGACCUCGGAUCAGGUAGGAAGACCCGCUGAACUUAAGCAUAUCAAUAAGCGGAGGA
rnacentral:misc_RNA from 1 species